rnacentral:rRNA from 1 species
AGUGAACGCUGGCGGUAGGCCUAACACAUGCAAGUCGAACGGCAGCACAGUAAGAGCUUGCUCUUACGGGUGGCGAGUGGCGGACGGGUGAGGAAUACAUCGGAAUCUACUUUUUCGUGGGGGAUAACGUAGGGAAACUUACGCUAAUACCGCAUACGACCUACGGGUGAAAGCAGGGGAUCUUCGGACCUUGCGCGAUUGAAUGAGCCGAUGGCGGAUUAGCUAGUUGGCGGGGUAAAGGCCCACCAAGGCGACGAUCCGUAGCUGGUCUGAGAGGAUGAUCAGCCACACUGGAACUGAGACACGGUCCAGACUCCUACGGGAGGCAGCAGUGGGGAAUAUUGGGCAAUGGGCGCAAGCCUGAUCCAGCCAUACCGCGUGGGUGAAGAAGGCCUUCGGGUUGUAAAGCCCUUUUGUUGGGAAAGAAAAGCAGCAGGUUAAUACCCCGCUGUUCUGACGGUACCCAAAGAAUAAGCACCGGCUAACUUCGUG